UAAUAGGCUCUUAGUAAAUGUGUGUUAAAUUGAACAACCAUUUAUGAAGUGCCUAUUAUG
ensembl:miRNA mdo-mir-7281 mdo-mir-7281